AAGAUCCAGCGGUUUGCUGUGAGUCCGAGAGGCAAAAUUGUGCCCAUUUCGAAGAUGUGAUGACUAAGGUCUCCAGAGGGCCAGGGCUCGCCCAAGAUUGGUCUGUGGUGACAGCUUUACCUCCCUGCUAUUUAUUCUCAGAUAUUGCAAACGGAGAGAAAAGUGGAGAAUGAAUCCUGGAGAAAACACGGUCGUUCCUGACGAUUUCAACAUGUCGCAUCCCUGAGAGUCUCUCCUGUCCUGAUCGACUUGAGAACUGGAGGGAGUGGCAUUUUAGACACUGCAGUGAAAGCCACGCAGCCACAGAAGGCCGGGACUCUACCAUGUUUGUGGCCUUCACAUUGAGCAAGCUCACUUGCACUCCUCCGCCUCGUCUCAUCUCUAGAAUGUAUUUUACCAUAUCAUGUCCUUUCUUUAGUGGGAGCGUCUGUGGUCAAACAUAAUGAGAAGUUCUGACCUGACUUGCUAAUACCCAGUGAUAAAAGGAUGGAGUUUGUUGGGAAUAAAAGAAAACUAAGCUUACAAA